AGAAACCAGGAGUCAGCCAGGUCACGGGGGUGGUGGGAGGAGUCCACCACUGCCAUGGGGUGUGAGUGUGAUAUGGUUUGGCUGUGUCCCCACCCUGAUCUCAUCUUGAGGUGUGGUUCCCAUACUCCCCAUGUGUCCUGGGAGGAACCAGGUGGAUAUGAUUGAAUCAUGGGGGUGGAUCCCCCUGUGCUGUUCUCAUAAUAGUGAGUUCUCAUGAGAUCUGAUGGUUUUAAAACGGGCUUCUCCCCACUUCACUCUGCACUUCUUCCUGCUGCCAUGUGACAAAGGACGUGUUUGCUUCCCCUUCCACCAUGAUUUUAAGUUUCCUGAGGCCUCCCCAGCCCUGCAGAACUCUGAGCUCCAAGUCUCCUUCUAUGCCAUCAAGCACUGCAAGCCUCUGCUCUCAGCCUGGAAGCCCUCUGCCUUCAAAGGCCCUUGAGGAGAACAUUUGGAAACUCUGCUUCCUCAGGGUCCGAUGUGAUGUCAAAAUCCAGCAGCCCACCAGCAAUUAAUGACAAAUCCCAGCACAGAUGCUGACAACAAGGGAAACCUUCAGCAUUGCUGAAGAUGCUGUUCUUUGUAUGGAAAAAGCAAAAAGGAAGGAGAAAGAGGGCCUGGGCCUUUUGACUCCAAACUCAGAGAAUGGACCAAAGUGGGGAGUGCAGCCAGAGCCUGAAACAGAGUCCUCAGCACAGCCCAACCCUGGACUGUACCCUUCCAGGAAACCCAAGACAUAACAUGGACAGGAGGCACCCAAACCAGGAAAGCUACAUGUGACUUCGUACUGACAGAAGUGCAGGCUCUGAGUGGUGCAGCCCUAUGUCCUUAUUGGGAUCUCACCCGCAGACCCGUACCCAGUGACGGAUGAACAAAUACACUCAAACACAGAAUACAGUGAAAGAGAGGGCUAGGGGUCCAUGGCCACAGAUACUGCAGAGAGAGUUAGCAGCUGGCACUCGGGGCAUUUAUUCAGUAUAGAUUUAAUAACAGAGACUCUGAGUCAACACACUUGUGGAUAAUGAUUAAAGAUCAGGUUCUGAGGCCUAAAGCAAACACCAUUUGUGAGUAAUAAACCCAGUCGCCCUUCUGCUGAGAGAGCCA
rnacentral:lncRNA from 13 species